UGAAGUGCUCUCAGAUGGAGAUGGGAAA
rnacentral:piRNA from 1 species